UAGAUUAUAGCCUACUACUUCAGUUACAACCUCUUUAAUACAUUCAGCUGUCUGGCUGAAGCCUGGGAAAUAUUGUAAACAAAUUAGAAUAGUUGGCUAGGUU